rnacentral:rRNA from 1 species
UACGAGGGGUGCAAGCGUUGUUCGGAAUCACUGGGCGUAAAGGGAGCGUAGGCGGAGCUUCAAGUCGGUCGUACAAUUCCGGGGCCUAACCCCGGACCUGCGGCCGAUACUGGGGCUCUUGAGUUAUCUAGAGGCAGGCGGAAUUCCAGGUGUAGCGGUGGAAUGCGUAGAGAUCUGGAAGAACACCAAUGGCGAAGGCAGCCUGCUGGGGAUUAACUGACGCUGAGGCUCGAAAGUGCGGGUAGCAAACAGGAUUAGAUACCCUGGUAGUCCGCACUGUAAACGAUGUAUACUGGGUGUCCGCCGUAAGGUGGGCGCCGUAGCUAACGCGCUAAGUAUACCGCCUGGGGAGUACGUUCGCAAGAAUG